rnacentral:rRNA from 1 species
UAUGUGAUCGUCUCUCGCAUAUCAAUAAGCGGAGGAAAAGAAACUAACAAGGAUUCCCCUAGUAACGGCGAGUGAAGCGGGAAGAGCUCAAAUUUGAAAUCUUAAAGGGUUUCCCUUUACGAAUUGUAGUUUAAAGAAGUGUUUUCUGUUGAGGUUUUGGUAGAAGUUCUUUGGAAUAGGACAUCAUAGAGGGUGAGAAUCCCGUAUUUGACCUUUACUUUCAACUUUGUGAUACACUUUCAAAGAGUCGGAUUGUUUGGGAAUGCAGUCCAAAAUGGGUGGUAAAUUUCAUCUAAAGCUAAAUAUUGGCGAGAGACCGAUAGCGAACAAGUACCGUGAGGGAAAGAUGAAAAGAACUUUGAAAAGAGAGUUAAACAGUACGUGAAAUUGUCAAAAGGGAAGCGUUUGACACCAGUGUUGUUUUUCUGAAAAUCAAUUAAAGAACUGUUUAUGCUAAGCUGUUUAGACUUUAUCAGCUAACUGUUUAGUUUUGAGCUUUUCUUUAAUGCACUUUUCAGUUAACAAGUCAACAUCAAUUUCUUUUGCUGUAAAAAAGCUUGAGGAAGGUGGCUUGAGAUUCGUCUUAAGUGUUUAUAGCCUCCUGCCUAUGCAGUCGGAGAGAUUGAGGUCUGCAGCGUAGAUCCUUCGGGGCUAAAUGCAUUUGUGCUAAGUUAUAGCAUUUUAUAGACAACUUGUUGACUAUGAUUUGUCUUGUAGCUUACUCGCUUAUGUUAUUUUACCUACGCUUAGGAUGUUGAAGUCAUCGUAUCGCGC